AUGCCUGGUUCGUCGUCGUCGGCGUCAUACGAGAAGGCCAAAGAGGUCAUGGCCAUGGCCACGUCCGUCGCCGCGUCCAUGAUGCUGGUGCGCAGCCUCGCCAACGACCUGAUCCCGCCCGAGGCGCGCAGCCUGCUCUCCUACUGCCUGAGCGGCCUGCAGUCCCGCAUGGCGUGGCGCCACACCAUUGUCGUCGAGAAGACCGACGGGUAUUACACCAACAACGUCUUCUACUCCGUCAAGACCUACCUCGCGUCGCGCAUGGAGAACGACAACGCCACCCGCGACGUGCAGCGCCUGCGCCUCAGCAGCGGCGGCUUUGGCCUGGACGACGAGGACGACCCCGAGAAGCUCGUACUCGGUAUGGAGGAGGGCGAGGAGAUGAUCGAGGUCUACCAAGGCGCCGAGUUCAGAUGGAGCCUCCACUCCCACGACCUCCCCGGCGACUCCUCCACCACCCUCGGCCGCGGCGGCGGCAGGCAGUACUACGAGCUCACCUUCCACAAGAAGCACAAGGAGAAGGCCAUCAAAGCAUACGUCCCCCACAUCCUCGCCACCGCCAAGGAGAUAAGGGACAAGGACAGGCCUCUCACCAUCUACAUGAACGACGGCUCCGACUGGUCUCCCAUGGACCUCAACCACCCCUCCACCUUCGACACGCUCGCCAUGGACCGCACGCUCAAGCGAUCCGUCAUCGACGACCUCGACAAGUUCAUCAAGAGAAAGGCAUACUUCAAGAAGAUCGGCAAGGCCUGGAAGAGGGGCUACCUGCUCCACGGCCCGCCCGGCAUCGGCAAGUCCAGCCUCAUCGCCGCCAUAGCCAACCACCUCAGGUUCGACAUAUACGACCUCGAGCUCACCGGCGUCCACAGCAACUCCGACCUCAGGAAGCUUCUCAUCGGGAUGACCAACCAGUCCGUCCUCGUCAUCGAGGACAUCGACUGCACCAUUGACCUCAAACAACGAGAUGAUGAUAGUAACACUUCUUCUAGCACCACCAAGGACGACAACAACAAGCAGGUAACCUUGUCCGGGCUUCUCAACAUCAUCGACGGCCUAUGGUCCACCAGCGGGGAGGAGAGGAUCAUCGUCUUCACCACCAACUACAAGGACCGUCUCGACCCCGCGCUUCUACGGCCCGGCAGGAUGGACAUGCACGUCCACAUGGGAUACUGCACCACCGAGGCCUUCAGGAUUCUCGUCAACAACUAUCACUCCAUCGACUACCAUGCCACCUAUCCACAGAUCGAGGCGUUGAUGGAGGAGGUGGAAGUGACGCCUGCAGAGGUCGCCGAGACCUUGAUGAGGAGCGAAGAACCAGAUGUCGCCCUCCAUGCUCUUAUCGAGCUCCUAAAGUCAAAGAAAGAAUUGUUGGCAGAAUCUGCCACUACCAGUACGGAUCAGGAGGAGGAUUGUGAUCGUGCUAAGGAGGACGAGGAGGAUUCCGAUGAUGCCAAGGAUAAUAGUGGCGAUGAUGAUAACGAAGCUGAAAGCUAG
rnacentral:rRNA from 1 species